rnacentral:lncRNA from 1 species
GACUUCGCGCAUCAAUAGGGACAUAACAAGUUGUGAUCAUUGAUUUCAUUUUGUCCAACAGAGAUUUCCCUGAAUUUUAAUGAAUGUCUAUCAGGGAAUCGAGGAAUACACGUUUUUGCAGUAUUGCAGCGUAGAAACCUGUCAAAUUCUUAAGGUCAAGCACUUCAAAAUUAUUCUAUAGUGAUAUUAUACAUAUAUGCUCUUUCUUUCCGUGACCAAUUAUUGGCAUUGAUAUGUAAUUAUUCCAUUCAUAAAUAUUUGUAGAUGUGUAUUACAAUACUUCCACGUGUAUUGUCCAUUGGUCGUAUUUAAAUAGAUUUUAUUAUUGACCAAUGAAAAAACGAUAUUUAUUUCAUCAGAAAAGCC